GAUGUGGAACUGCAGCUAGCCUGCCCAAUUUUCCAUUCCUAGUGGAAUCGGUAUAAACGUCAGGAGUUUCAGAAGCCUUCAAAGCAGUGUGACAAGAGUUGUUUUGAAAAGAAAAAAAAUUAGAGGGCCUUGGGGUGUGGCUCCGUGGCAGCGUGCUCUCCGAGCAGGGUUUGAUGGCAGUAGACCAUGCUAGGGAGGAGAAGGAGGAGAAGGAGAAGACACAGCCUUGAAUUUCAGCUCACUACCUGACUCAUUCUUUUUGCCCAAGCCACAGUUUUUUACAUCCAUAAAAUGGGGGUGAUAGCCAUAGGGUCACCAUGCACGGGUUGCUAUGAGGUUUAGAGAUACUGCAUGCAGGGGCAGCUGUGCUAAGACUACUAUGCUCUGCUGAUCCUUUGAAUGUCCCUUCCGUCCUCACCCAAGUUAUUAGUAUUCCACAUAAUAAUGCUGUAGCUAAUCAGUAACAUUUAUAUGUCAAGCCCUCUACUGUGUUAUGUGAGUCAUUUCUUGUCCACAACCACCUGAUUUUAUGUAGACCUGGUAUAAGCCCCAUUUAACAGGUGAGGAAUCAGGGCUCUAUCAUUUGCUCAGGGCUGGAAAGCAGGUGAAUGGUUGAACUUAAGUCUGAGUCUGCACCAAGAGUCAUCUGACUCCUAAGCAUGGGCUCCUAGGCAGCCUGAACUGGAUAGUGAGACCCUGUCUCAAAAAACAAUUAAAAAAAAAAAAAAA